AGAGUUUGAUCCUGGCUCAGAUUGAACGCUGGCGGUAUGCUUUACACAUGCAAGUCGAACGGCAGCACGGGGCAACCUGGUGGCGAGUGGCGAACGGGUGAGUAACAUAUCGGAACAUGUCCGGAAGUGGGGGAUAACGUACCGAAAGGUACGCUAAUACCGCAUAUGCCCUGAGGGGGAAAGGGGGGGAUCGCAAGACCUCUCGCUUUCGGAGUGGCCGAUAUCGGAUUAGCUAGUUGGUGGGGUAAAGGCCCACCAAGGCGACGAUCCGUAGCUGGUCUGAGAGGACGACCAGCCACACUGGAACUGAGACACGGUCCAGACUCCUACGGGAGGCAGCAGUGGGGAAUUUUGGACAAUGGGCGCAAGCCUGAUCCAGCCAUACCGCGUGAGUGAAAAAGGCCUUCGGGUUGUAAAGCUCUUUCAGCCGGAAAGAAAUCGUGCAGAUUAACACUCUGUAUGGAUGACGGUACCGGAAGAAGAAGCACCGGCUAACUACGUGCCAGCAGCCGCGGUAAUACGUAGGGUGCGAGCGUUAAUCGGAAUUACUGGGCGUAAAGCGUGCGCAGGCGGUUUUGUAAGACAGACGUGAAAUCCCCGGGCUUAACCUGGGAACUGCGUUUGUGACUGCAAGGCUAGAGUGUAGCAGAGGGGGGUAGAAUUCCACGUGUAGCAGUGAAAUGCGUAGAUAUGUGGAGGAAUACCGAUGGCGAAGGCAGCCCCCUGGGCUAACACUGACGCUCAUGCACGAAAGCGUGGGGAGCAAACAGGAUUAGAUACCCUGGUAGUCC
rnacentral:rRNA from 1 species